UUGGAGGGCAAGUCUGGUGCCAGCAGCCGCGGUAAUUCCAGCUCCAAUAGCGUAUAUUAAAGUUGUUGCAGUUAAAAAGCUCGUAGUUGAAUUUCGGGGUUAGUAGGUUGGUCAUGCCUCUGGUAUGUACUGGUCUCACUGAUUCCUCCUUCCUGAUGAGCCGUAAUGCCAUUAAUUUGGUGUUGCGAGGAAUCUGGACUGUUACUUUGAAAAAAUUAGAGUGUUUAAAGCAGGCUAACGCUUGAAUACAUUAGCAUGGAAUAAUGAAAUAGGACGUUCGAUCUUAUUUUGUUGGUUUCUAGGAUUGACGUAAUGAUUAAUAGGGAUAGUUGGGGGCAUUAGUAUUCAAUUGUCAGAGGUGAAAUUCUUGGAUUUAUUGAAGACUAACUACUGCGAAAGCAUUUGCCAAGGAUGUUUUCAUUAAUCAAGAACGAAAGUUAGGGGAUCGAAGACGAUCAGAUACCGUCGUAGUCUUAACCAUAAACUAUGCCGACUAGGGAUCGGAUGAUGUUAAUUUUUUAAUGACUCAUUCGGCGCCUUACGGGAAAC
rnacentral:rRNA from 1 species